GGAAUAACUAACAAGCAUCCCACAAUGUGAGGUCUGGGAAGCCAAGUUCUCCAACAGUGCAUGAAAAAAGAGUUCAAAACUCAAUAGCUAAGUAAUAGAAAUUUCUGCUGCUUAAGCUUGAUGAAAAUUUCUGCAAUGGCUGGUAGUCAAAUUCAUUGUUACAUUUCAUCAUCAAAACUCAAAAAUUCUAGCCAUCCUGGUUAUCCGAGUCCGCCCUCAGUUAUUG
rnacentral:misc_RNA from 1 species